rnacentral:rRNA from 1 species
UUGGAGGGCAAGUCUGGUGCCAGCAGCCGCGGUAAUUCCAGCUCCAAUAGCGUAUAUUAAAGUUGUUGCAGUUAAAAAGCUCGUAGUUGAAUUUCGGGAUCAAAUUGUCGGUCGUGCCUCGGUACGCACUGGUAUUAUUGGUUCCUACCUUCUGAAGAACCGCGAUGUCAUUAAUUUGGUGUCGUGGGGAAUCAGGACUGUUACUUUGAAAAAAUUAGAGUGUUUAAAGCAGGCUUACGCUUGAAUACAUUAGCAUGGAAUAAUGAAAUAGGACGUUUGAUUCUAUUUUGUUGGUUUCUAGGAUUGACGUAAUGAUUAAUAGGGAUAGUUGGGGGCAUUAGUAUUCAAUUGUCAGAGGUGAAAUUCUUGGAUUUAUUGAAGACUUACUACUGCGAAAGCAUUUGCCAAGGAUGUUUUCAUUAAUCAAGAACGAAAGUUAGGGGAUCGAAGACGAUCAGAUACCGUCGUAGUCUUAACCAUAAACUAUGCCGACUAGGGAUCGGAUGAUGUUAAUUUUUUAAUGACUCAUUCGGCGCCUUACGGGAAAC